CCUUUCGCUCAUUUUCUACGUUGACACAUCGCUCCCAUCAUCUCCUUUCAAGAAAAACACUCGAAAUCAUCACCAAAUCUUGGAAACCUCCUUAUGUACAUUCGACUGAUACAUAGUAAUUUAUCAUGGCAGUCCAUGAUUCUGGUCAAGGACAAGAGGGAAAAAAAGGAAAACAUUCGAUACGACCGACCAAUCAAAGUAUCGUGUUCCUAAAAACGCCAAAAACUAAUUGAAAUAUUUGAAAUUGCGUUAAUACAUUUUUAGAGAUAUUCGCGCACAAACGAACGUCACGUACGAGUGAAACGUUCAUUUUAAGUUAGGGAGAAAAAAAAAGCACCUUUUAUUAUCCUUCAUUAUACAAAUAAUUAUAAUUGAUUAUCCUUGUCUGUUCCUUGAAAAGCAUCGUCCAUGAUCCUACGUUUAUAAAAGUAAAAGUCUUCUUCAACAAGACCUACGAUAUUAUCACAAAAAGAAAGUAAAAAAGUAUGAAUAGGUCGUAUUUUCAGAUCGACCAAACGCAUUGGUAAUUAUUUCAUCGACGCAAAAUGGCAUAGAUUUCAAAUAUAUCUCUACUCUGUUUAUACAAAAAUAUAAUUUCAAUUAACAGUCUGUUCAUUAUAUUAGUCAUCGAGAGAGAGAGAGAGAGAGAGAGAGAGAGAGAGAGAGAGAGAGAGAGAGAGAGAGAGAGAGAGAGA